CUAGAGCAGUGUGGAGGGGAAAUAGGGGGCUGGAGCCCCCACACAGAGUUCCUAUUAGGGCACUGCCCAGUGGAGCUGUGAGAAGAGGGCCACGGUGCUCCAAAUCUCAGAAUGGUAGAUUGACCAACAGCUUGCACUGUGCACCUGGAAAAGCCAGAUACUCACGCCUGACUGUGAAAGCUGGCUGCAUAGAUUAAAUUGAAAGUUGUUGCCUCCUUUAAUUUCUAAAAGGUAUGUGUAAAAUUGAUGUUAUUUCCAAAUUAUUUGUUAGAUACAUUUCAUCAAUGAAGCCUUCUGGACCUGGAGUUUCCUAUAUGAGAAGGAUUUUGAUUACACAUUCAAUUUCUACAAUCAAUAUAUGACUGGCCACAUUUUCUAUCUCUUCUCAGGCCACACCGUAGUCAUAGAGCAAGAGGACUCAGAUACAGUUUGGUUGGUCCUUUACCUUCAAAAGUUCAAGUGCUGGCUGCCGAGACUUCUCCAACUCAGUGAUCAGGGUCCCAAGCUGGACCACCUCCUCAGAACCCUUGAUGACACGGCUGUUCCUCCUUUUGAGACACUUACUGAUGCAAAGGAGACUGAACAGUGAAGGAUCUCACUCAGAAUCCUGUCCACAAUCUGUCCAGUUUACACCUUACCCCAAAGAGAGGUAGCCUGUUAUACAACGUUCUUCACCUCAUUCUCUCACUUCACAAUAUAUCUUGGAGAUCUUACCAAAAGCACACAGAGACCUCCUGCGUUGUGAUUAGAUUUUCAUUGCAUAAUAUUCCAUUGUUCGUGUGUGUGUGAGUGUUUAGUUAGUCUCAAAUUGAUAGGUGCAUGAAUUUUUCCAAUCUUUUGUUAAGGCAAGCAGUAUUGAAUAAACUUGUACAUAAUAUUUUUGCAUGUGUAUAAUUAUAUCUGUAGAAUGAGUUUCAAAAAAUGAAAUUGAAAGGUUUAAGGCUGUAUUCACAAACAAUUUUGAAAGGUAUUGAUUGCCUAAUUGUCCUCCAAAAGGUUUGUCCCAAACUGGACUCCUAUAACCAAUAAAUCAAAGUGCUUGUUUCUCCAUAGCCUUGUCAACAGAGGGUGUUGCCAAACUUUUAACUUUUUGCCAAUCUGACAGGAAAGACAUGAUAUCUCCUGUAGUUUUUCUUCUUCCUCUGGUAAAAGCAAGGUUAAGUGUUUUUUCAUGUGUUUAAUAACUAUUUUUGUUUCCUUUUCUGAGUUUCUUCACAGUUCCCGAGACAGAAAAAAGGAAAAAGGAUUUCAGCAGACAGAAUUUCAACAACAAUUGUCUGUUAAAAUUCUUUUUACUUUUUCUUUCAGAGAUUGCUAGUCUCUUUCUUCUCAAUUUUAAGGUGCAUUUUAAUUGCUAAAGAGGUCAUUUCUUUGGAUGUGAUAUGCAUGAAAAUAUUUCUAUAAGUUUUUCAUUUGUCUUUUGAUUUUUUAUGAUAUUUUCUGCUACUCGGAACUGCUUUUUAUUUUAUGUAGUUCAGUUUAUUAAUUUUCUGUCCUAUGGCUUUUACGAUUUGGAGUUACAGUUAGAUAGCCCUCCUCCAAAGUUAGAAAGGAAUAUUUCCUUUUUUUCAUUGAAAACUUUGACCCAUUUGGAGUUUAUCAUGCUAUACAGUUGGAAUUGUGCCCAACUUUAAAUAUUAUUUCCCAUGUAGUUAUCCAGUUAUCUCAAAAGCAUUUAUUGAAUGGUCAUCUAUCUUUUCCACUGAUCUGAGAUCCCAUUUUUAUCAUCCACUAAAUUACUGUAUGCUUGGGUCUAUUUCUAGAUUUCCUUUUAUUUUUCAUUGAUCUGUCUGUUUAUGUACCAACAUCACAUUCUUUUUGUUAUUGAGGCUUUAGAAUGUUUUCAUAUUUGGCAAAGCCAGUUUUUCUCAAGCUCCCCUUGUCUGAGGUUUAGUUGGUAUUCUUUCUUUAUUUUUCAUAUGAAUCUUUGAAUCAGUUUAUCUAGUUAAAAAGAACACCUGGCUGGGCACGGUGGCUCACGCCUGUAAUCCCAACACUUUGGGAGGCUGAGGAGGGAGGAACACCUGAGGUCAUGAAUUCGAGACCAGCUUGGUCAACAUGGUGAAACCCCAUCUCUACUAAAAUACAAAAAAUAGCUGGGGUGGUGGUGUGUGCCUGUAAUCGCAGCUACUCAGGAGGCUGAGGCAGGAGAAUCGCUUGAGCCCGGGAGACAGAGGUUGCAGUGAGCUGAGAUUGUGCCGUUGCUCUCCAGCCUGGGCAACAAGAGUGAAACUCUGUCUCAAAAAAAAAAAAAGAACACCUCUGGUAUUUUUAUUUUUUACAAGUUAAAUUAAGAUUAGCCCGGAGGGAUGAUAACUUUAUGAUGAUCAAUGUAUGUAUUCGAGAAAUAUUUCAGGUUUUUAAAGUAUUUAAGUGUUUGUUACAUAUAGGUAUCACACAUUUCAAAGUAAGUUCAUUCCAGAGUAUUUUAUCUUUUUGUUGAUAUUAUAAAUAGUAUCUUUUCUUCUGUUAUAUCUUCUACCUAAAUGUUGAUUUGGAUACAUGAAAACUAUUUACUUCUUCCUAUAGCUAUUUUAUUCUGCAUGUUAGGGUAGAAAACAAAACUGUAAUAAUGGAGAAAACUGUAAAUGAGAUGACUCAAACAAAAUAGUUUAUUUCCAUCUCAACAGUCCUGGGUAGGUUUAUCAAGAUGGUGAGUGGUUGUACUCUAUGAAGUCACUUAGGGAUGCAUGCUAUUAGAAGUUCUUCUAUCUUCAACAUGUGAUUACAAGAUCAAUUUGCUUCAACCAAUGAUGAAGGGUUUCAAGAAGGGCUGAAGUUCAAGGUCUCUUUAAUCUGUGAGGUGACUGUUUCAUUUAUCACAACUUAUAUUCCUUUGUCAAGACCCUAGUCACAUGGCUACAUCUAACUGCAAAGAGGGCUAGGAAAUGUGGUCCGGCCAGGUCUCAGCUAUACUUUAUUUGUUUGAGAGAAGGAAAAUGGAUUUUGUGGUCAGUUAGAAGUCAUUACACAGACCAGCAAUGGUCACCAAUAAUCCACAUAUACUCUACUUUUCACAUUUAGAAAAAACUCACCUCACCCCCUAGGGAAAUAUCUCAUCCAGUUAUGACAUCCAGCUCAAAAUCCAGGAUCUUUAGGUGACAUGCAGUUUUCUAUUGGAUAUACACUUGAGUCCUCAUGGCCCAGUGACCCAUAAAGUAAUAAAAUCUAAAUUAUCACCCUCUACCACGUAAACACAGAUAAUAUACAAUGGUGAAGUGAGAACAGGAUAAUGGCAAAAGAAACUCUUAUUUAAAAAACAGAAACACACAAUCAUUGGCCCACAGCAAUGAUUAAAUCUUACUGGGUAGGAAUCCUAAAUUAUCCUUGCCCUCUCAAUGGAGUAAGUUCCAAGCUUAGUCCAUCUGACUAUCACUGGUCCUCUCUGUGGGAGGAACUCCUUUGUUUGUCAUCCUGACCACUGGCUUUGCUUUCUGGAAGAUUCUUUCUUCUCCAUUAUCUACCAUAGCCAAUAUAAGAAGAAGUGAGGAGUACUCAUUUCUUAGGAUUGCCCCGUACAGAUUUUGCAGCCUGACUUCUGUGGUUGCAAUUUGAGGGCCUAUGAGUUAUUUUAAGCUUAACCACAGGCUUUUUUAUGUUAGGCUUUAUGGCUUCCUUGGGAAUACAAUUUCUUCAAAAACUAAAAGGGCUUCUUGUUUAUUUGUUUCAUGCAUCAGUGACCACAACCAAAGUUCUUUUCUAGGUCUGAUUCUGAAAUCUUUUGUUCUAAGCUCUGUUGAAUGACUCAUGUCACUCUUAAUUUAAUGGUAACAACUUUGAGUGGGAAGAAAACUCCUUUAAUCUAAUUGUUUCCUUAGGCGUCUGUCCUUCUGUUUGCCUUAAUACAAGGCCUUUGGGAAAAGCUUAGAGGAAGGUAUUAGUUUUUUAUCACUGAUUUAACAAAUUACCACAAACUUAGUUGCUUAAAUAUAAAUGUAUAAUCUAUAAAUAUAAAUUUAUGAUAAUAUAAUAUAUAUUAUAUAUUUAUAAUAGAAAUUUAUGAUCUUACAGUUCUGUAAGUCAGAAAACCAACACUAGUUUCGCUAAGCUAAAAUCAAGGUAUCAGUAGGACCACAUUACUUCUAGAGGCUCACAGGGAGAAUCUGUGUUCUUGCCUUUUUCAGCUUCUAGAGGUUGCUGGCAUUCUUUGGCUUAUGGCCCUGUUUCUCCACCUUCAAAAUCAGCAAUAUAACACAUCUCUCUGACCCUUUGUCCCAUCAUCACAUGUCUCUCUCUUACUGCAGCUGGGAAAGAUCUUCUGCUUUUAAUGACUCAUGUGAUUAAAUUGGGCCCACUGGAAUAAUUCAGGAUGAUCUCCUCAUCUCAAGGUCCUUAAUUGCAUUUGCAAAGUCCCUUUUGCCAUGUACGGUAACAUAUUCACAGAUUCUGGGGACUAGAAUGUGGACAUUUUGGUGGGGGGACAGUCAUUAUUUGGCCUAACACAAGCAACUAAAGCCAUAUUUCCUGUUAUCUGAAAUAUAAAAGCAUUUCUCAAUCUUGUAAAGACUCACAUCUCUGGACUCUAUUUCCUUCAAUCUCUGCUUGCAAUCUGGUCAUUUCUUGCCUGAGUUUGCACUUUCUUAUAAUAUUUUGCUAAAUGCAACAAGAAGCAGGCAACACUGGAAACAAUCUAAAUUUCCAUCAACAUUUGAAUGAAUAGACACAUUGUAGUACAUCCAUACAAUAAACUACUAUAUGGCAAUAAAAAGGAAUGGACUAUUUAUACACUCAACAACAUAGAUUAAUCACAAAAUAAUUAUGCUGGAUGAAAGAAUCUAGACAAAAAUAGAGUACAUAUUAUGAGUUCAUUUAUGUAAAAUUCUAAAAAAGGAAGCCAACCUAUAGUGACAGAAAGCAGACCAGUAUUUGCCUGGGGAUGGAUUAUAGGAUGGGUUGAAUUCAAAGGAGCAGGGAAAAGCUAUGGGGGGUGACAGAUAUAUUCAUUAUUUUAAUUGUGGUGAUGAUUUCACAGGUGGAUUCCUAUGUCAAAACUCAUCAGAUUAUAUACUUUAAAUACAUGCAGUUUACUAGUUACGAUAGUGAAGACGUGGAACCAACUUAACUGCCCAUCAACUGUAGACUGAAUAAAGAAAAUGUAGUACAUAUACACCAUGGAAUACUAUGCAGCCAUAAAAAAGAAUGAGAUCGUGUCCUUUGCAGCAAUAUGGAUGGAACUGGAGGGCCAUUAUCCUAAGUAAAUUAAUGUAGGAACAGAAAACCAAACAUCACAUGUUCUCACUUAUAAGUGGGAGCUAAACAUUGAGUAUACAAGGACACCAAGAAGGGAACAAUAGACAUUGAGGUCUAUUUGAGGAUGGAGGGUGGAAGGAGGGUGAGGAUCAAAAAACUACCCAUCAGGUACUACGCUUAUUACCUGGGUGAUGAAAUAAUCUGUACAACAAACCCCUGUGACACACAAUUUAUUCAUGUAACAAACCUGCAUAUGUACCCCUGAACCUAAAAUAAAAGUUGGAGAGAAAAAAAAAGAAAUCUGGAAGCAGAAACACACACAGAGCAUGACGGCUCCAAAGACAACCAGGCAAAAUCUGUUACUUUAUCAACAAAAGUGCAUUAUUUUCAUUCCCUGGUAUUUGUUGCUAAUGUAAAUUUUGUUCAACAACCUGAAUAGAAUUAAGCAAAGCUUUGGGAAUUUUUACCAGGCAGGUACAAAAAUAUGUGUGCUAUUUUUUUGUUCCACAUCUUGAGAGAGCAUGAAAAACAUAAAUAUGUGCAGUUUAUUGAAUAUCAGUUGGACUCAAUAAAGCUAUUUUUAAGGUGUACUAAAAAAUAAAGAGAUACAUUCAUAGUAUUGCAUAUGGGAUUUCACUGAGACAUAAACUCAUGAAGGUUGGGGCCUUUGUUUGGUUCAUUACUGUAUCACCAGAACCUAUGAUAGCACCUGGCACAUAUUAGAGGUUCAAUAUAUCCCAUAUAACUUGUAGAAGGCAGAAGAAUGUCCCUAUCCCCAAGAUGUCCAUGUCCUAAUCCCUAGAACCUGACUAUAUUAUGUUAUAUGGCAAAAGAGAAUUAAGGUUGCUAAUCAGUUGACUUUGUAAAAAGGGAGGUUAUUAGGCCGUAUGAGGUCCAAUCUAAUCACACCAAUCUUUAAUAAAAGUGGAAAGAAGAAGAAGCAGAAUGUAGCUCAGAGAGAUAGGACAUGAGAUGGACAUAACCAACUGUUGUUGGAUUUGAAUACAGAGAAAAGAGGCUAUGAGCCAAGGAAUUCUACAGCCCUUUGAGCUGUUAACAGCUCUGUUUAAAGCCAGUAAAAAGACAGGAACCUAGUCCUCCAACUACAAGGAAUUGAGUUCUGCAAGCAACCAGAAUGAACAGAAACAAAUUUUCCCCUAAAGCCUUCAAAAAGAGAUGCAACCACACUGACAACUUGAUUUUAGCCCAUUGAGACUUGUUUCAGACCUCUGACCUACUGAGGCAAGAUAAGUAAGGUUAGGAGGCCAUACUAACUUGUCCCAUGUGUGAAGCCCCACGGCUCCUUUUACAGUGAAUUCUUUUCACUUGCACCCUCCUGCAUCAGCACUGAAGUCUUUUGCAAGACAAGCAGUCCUGCAGGAUUCUGCCAGGUGGUUACAAGUUCUUGAUACCCUAUACAGCCUGGGAAAGAGAACGAAAGCCCUUUGUUCAUGAUGUAGCUACCCAUCUCCAGCCAAUCAGCACCAAAAGCCCAAGAAGCUAUUAGCUACAAAUUCCUGCCUUGGUUGGGGUGGGUGGAGGUGUGACUGGGAAAUUCUCCAGGGUCUUGCAUACACAGCUAGGCUCAAGGUUUAGCUUAUGGUGACCUUUUCCUCAUUGUAAUAGCAAAAAACACACCACCACGUGGGGAUUUUAUACGCUAAUGAUACAUGGGAUGCGUGUUAGACCAAGUAGCUCAUGUGCUAACCACAGGUCUGCCUUUGCUUACUUGAUCUCACCAGUAUUUUAUUAAUAUGUAUGUACAGUUUCCACAAAGGAAAUUCCCCUUAAGGCACUAACUACUGCCUCUAGCUUUGAGCUAGCUUUGAGCAGCCCACUCUGCCUCUCAGAGUGUACUUUCACUUUGCAAUAAACUCCUUUGCCUAGUCUUAUUUUGGACUCACUCUCAAAUUCUUUUGUGUGGCCCAGAAUCUGAAUCUGGCCCACCAACGACAUUGCAGAAGUGUAAGAGAAUACAUUCGUGUUGUUUAAACAGCUAAGUUUGUGGUAAUUUGUUACAGCAGCAAUAAAAACCUAAUCCAUAACUAAAAGAAGCUAUGUUCUGGUCCCUAGAAGCACCAAAGAAGCUGCAAUGUCCUCGGUCCCCAGUUUAGGGGAAUGGAGUGGAUGUUGAAAGCUUCUGAGGGGAGGAAGAGCCUGAAAGACAUUCUCUAGGAAGGAAAGGGCAAACUGGGAGUGAGUCAGAGCUUUAUGAUUGACUACACUCUUUUAUCAUUCAUAAAGACUGUCAGAGGCAUUCCAACCAGAGCGACGCCAUUUUGAGUGAGAGCUAGGAAAAUGAGGCUGCAACUUGGCGGGGUGCAUUUCCAGAAAUAUAGGUAUUCCUAGCCUCUAGACAUUUAUGGUUAAGGGAAUAGAUUAAUAAUAUUUACUAGGCCAGGAAAGGUGGCUCACACCUGUAAUCCCAGCACUUCAGGAGGCCGAGGUGGGUGGAUCACAAGGUCAGGAGUUCGAGACCUGCCUGGCCAAUAUUGUGAAACCCGUCUCUACUAAAAAUACAAAAAUUAGCUGGGUGUGGUGACAUGUGCCUGUCCCGACUACUCGGGAAAUGGAGGCAGAAGAAUCGCUUGAACCCAGGAGGCGGAGGUUGCAGUGAGCCAAGAUUGUGCCAUUGCACUCUGGCCUGGGCAACAGAGGGAGACUCUGUCUCAAAAAAAAAAAAGUUUACUAAACUGACCCAGAUUUAGCAAUGUCCAGAUAAUCCUGACACCUGGAGAACAAAGGCACUUCUAAUUUUGCUUUAAAGAUAAUAAUAUUGAUUCUUGCAAAACAUAGUAAUUAAGGAAAUUAAUCCUUUAUCACAAACUCUUGUAGCAGAGCACAUCUUCCCAUGAUCUUCUUUUAUCAUAUAUAUAUAUGAUAUAUAUAUAAAGAUAUAUAUAUAAGCAUUGUACCUAGGGUGGACGCGUUCCUCCUCUUACUUUCUGGAAUGCCCUACUCUGUCUAUGGGUUAGCUCUUCUUUCACCACUGAACUUGCUUUUGCUGUGCACUCCAGCAGACUUGCCCUGAAUUCUUUCUUGCACGAGAUCCAAGAACCCUCUCUUGGGGUCUGGAUUGGGACCUCUUUCCUGUAACAGGACCACCUUCCACAAAUGGACCCAGGUUCAGUGUCCACUCUGAUUCACUGUCCCAUGCUGCCUUCCCUAAAGCAGGCACUUUGCCACUGGUUUCACACGUCUGGGGUGAAGAACUCUUCUUGGUUUGUCCGGAACCUUUCUGGUUUUGCGUGGAAAGUCCUGUGUCCUGGGAAACUCCACAGUCCCAGGCAUCCUAUACCAUGCUUCAUUUGCCAAAAACUGUGACCCAAAAAAAUUGUGAACAAUGAUUUUACUGCAAAAUGUUGGAAACUCUGUAGAAAGUAGUUGUAUGGUAUGCUGUGAAAAUAGGGAAUUUUUUUUGGGUAUUUGAUUUUGUAACACUUUUCUGAUUAUAAAAGCAUUAAAUACACAUUUGGAGGUACUUGGAGAGACAAAGGAAAGCUUAAAGCAAUGCUUUUCAAGCUUUGUUAUGUGUAAGAAUAUCUUGCUUGAAAUGUAGAGUCCCAGGCUGCAACGCAAGAGUGUGCAUCAGGAAGAGUGGAGUGUUGCCCAGAAAUCUGGAAGGUAAGAGAAAAGGCUAGCCACUAAUAGUAGUUUAAAUGAGUCGAGAGUCUGGUCUACAUUUUGCAUGUCUAAUAGACAUCUCAAAAUUAGCAUAUCCAAAAUCAGAUCCAAAUCCUCUCCCCUGGUCUGUCCCUGCCCACGCCCCUACCCUCUAUCAAGUCUUUCCCAUCUCAGCAUCCUUCCAGUUGCUUAAGCCAAACACCUGGGCAUAAUCCUUGUCUCUAUUGUUCCUAUCACACCAUACCUAAUUGUGUUAAUUCUAUCUUCAAAUGUAUUCUGAACUUGACUAUUUCCCACAACCCCCAUCAUCACUUGCCUAGUUUAUUUCAAUGGCCUUCUGACAGAUGUUGCUACCUCCAUUCUUGUUUCCUUGGUUCUAUUUUCAACAGAGGAGCCAGAGAAAUUAAAACAUGAGUUAAAGCCUAUAGUCAGAGCCUAUCAGUCCUUUGUCCUUUUAGUGCCAUCCAUCUCACUCAAAGUAGAAUCAAAGUCCUUAGAAUGGGCCACAUGGUCCUACCCAGCCUGGACCCGCUCACUUCUGUUGAGCUAAUGUCCUGCACUUCACCUGAUGACCUCAUGUCCUGCACUUCACCCCUCCUUCACUCUGGUCCAGACACACUGGCAUCCCUACUGCUCCUUAUACUUGCUAGGCAUGCUUCUGCCUCAAGGCCUUUGUGCAGACUCUUCCCGUUGCCUAGAACACAUUUCUCUCAGAUAUUCUCAAAGCUGGCUCUCUAACCUCUUUCAGGCAUUUGCUGAAAUAUCACUUUCUCUGUAAGGACUUCUCUAACCUCCCUAUUUAAAAUUGUAAUAUUUUCUCCCCACUCCCUGUUCCCCUUCUUGGUUUGUGUUAAUUCAUAGUACCUACCACCAUCUAAUAUUACAAAUUUUUUUUUUUUUUGAGACUGAAUCUUGCUCUGUCGCCCAGGCUGGAGUGCAGUGGCAGGAUCUUGGCUCACUGCAACCUCUGCCUCCCAGGUUCAAGCGAUUCUCCUGCCUCAGCCUCCCAAGUACCUGGGACUACAAGUGUGUGCCACCACGCUCAGCCAAUUUUUUGUAUUUUUAGUAGAGACAGGGUUUCACCAUGUUAGCCAGGAUGGUCUUGAUCUCCUGACCUCGUGAUCCACCCGCCUCGGCCUCCCAAAGUGCUGGGAUUACAAGUGUGAGCCACUGCAUCCGGAGUAUUACAAAUUUUUUAUUACUUUGUUCGUGGUUUGCCUUCCUCCAACAGAACACAAGCUCCACUGGGAUUUUUGUCUGUUUUGUCACUGCUUUAUUCCCAGGACCCAGAAGAGCACUUAGCAUAAAGUAGAUGCUCAAUGAGUAUUGGUGAAGGCAUGGAUGGAUAUAUAACAUAUGACAGAGCUUGCAGUGUAAAACAGUGGGGAAAAUUAGAGGCUGUGCAUUAGAUGACACUGAGAUAAUUAGUUAACCAUAUGGAAAAAAGGGGAAACAAAUAUAUAUUUUGCUCUAAACACAAAAAUUAAUUCCAGAUAUAUAAAGAUUUACAUAUGAAAGGCAAAUGUCUCAGUUGUUCAGGCCUCUAUGACAAAAAUACCAUAGACUGGGUGGCUUAAAUAACAACCACUUAUUUCUCAUAGUUCUAGAGGUAGGGGAAGUCUGAGCUCAGGGUGCACAGUCAGUUUCAGAUGAAUGUUCUCUUCUGGGUUGCAGACUGCUAACUUCUCAUUGUGUCUUCACAUGGUGGAAGAGACAAGGGAGCUCUUUGGGGUCUCUGUCAUAAGGGCACAAAUCCCAUUCAGUAGUGCUCUGAUCUCAUGACCUAAUCACCUCCCAAAGGCCCCACCUCCAAAUACCAUCACACUGAGGAUUAGGUUUUAACAUGUGAAUUUUAGGAGGGACACAAGCAUUCAGUCUAUAGCAGCUAAACUGAAAAAUAUUUAGUCAAUAAUAUAGAUUAUCUUUGUAAUCUCAAGACAAGGUAGGACUUAUUAAACUAGACCAAGAGUCCAAAACAUAAAGAUUGAUACGUUUAGCUACUUUAGAAUGAAAAAACAAAUGCUUCUCUCUUCUCAAAAGAUGACAUAAAGAGAGAGAAACAACAAGCCAGAAACUCCAAGAAGAUGUUUGUAACACAUAUAACCAACAAGGAAUUAGUGUCCAGAAUAUACAAAAAACAAAUAUUUCCCAUAAAUCUGAAACCAACCCAUUUGUCCCAUAGGACUGAUUAUGUUUUUUUUCUUUUAAUAAACAUAGAAAUUUACCCUACAAGUCUUAAAACUUGAGAAACUUACAUUUGUCUUAUCUGAGUUCCUUUCUCAGGAAAUUGAUGAUCAGGGCUCCCUGGUAGUAUCAGGAAACUGAAACUUACCUUUCACUGCAUCUGCUAAGACACCAGACCCCUCACCCUUCAUGACUGCCUAACUGACCCCAGGCUGCCUGUUGACCAACUCCUCUUCCUUACCCCUCCCUAAUUCCUGUUUUCCCAUAUGUAGUUACCUUUCUUCCCUGCUCUAUAAACCCUUAAUUUUAAUCUGUUGAAAAGAGGAGACAGAGUUAAGACUGAUCUCCAAUCUCCUCGGUUGCAACACCUGAAUAAAGCCUUCUUCCCUCACAAUACUUGUUGUCUCAGUGAUUGGCUUACUGUGCAGUGAGCAACCUAGACCAAACCCUUGGCAUUUUGGUAACAAAUCCAAAAGAAAACUAAAAAUAGCCAAUAGAAGAAAGUAUAAAAAACAUAAAAGACACUAUACAGAAAGAGAAAUACAACUGGCCAAAAAAAAAAAAAGGAAAAAAGAAAGAAAAGAAAAAUGCUCAGCUUCAUUAAUAAUUAGGAAAAUGCACAUUAAAACCAAAUGCGAUAACAUUUCACACACAUCAAAAUGGCAAAAAGUCAAAAGUCUGACAAUUCCAAGUGAAGUUGCAGAUGUGGUUUAAUGGGAAUUUCAUCUGCCACUAAAGGGAAUGUAGAUUAUACAACCCCUGGGAAAUAGUCUCCCCUCACAAAGUAACACUAUAUAUACUGCAACCACAUUCUAAGACUCAGAAAUUUCAUUACUAGUUACAUAUUCUAAAAAGUCUUGCAGGUAUGUGCCAGGGUACAUGUAUGAGAAUGUUCAUAGCAUCAUUGGUCAUAACAGCAAAACUAUGAAGACAAACCAAGUUCUAAGAAUAGUAAAAUGGAGAAGAAAAAAACAUGGGACUUUCAAAUUUGGAAUACCACACAGCAGUGAAAAUGAACAAGCCAAAGCUAUAUGCAUCAAGAUGGUGAAUCUCAGAAAUAAAGACAAGUCACAGAAGAACACAUACAUUACAAUUCCACGUAUACAAAGUUUAAAAAUAGGCAAAACUAGACAAUAUCCUGUUUAGGGAUACAUACAUGUAUCAAGGAAGUAUAAAGAAAAGCUAGGCCUUGGCCUCUCCCUCUCCCUCUCCCCCUUUCCCUUGGAUCUCCCUCUGUUGCAGAGGCUGGACUGUACUGCCAUGAUCUCAGCUUGCUGCAACCUCCCUGCCUUGGGCUCCCGUGAUUCUCCUGCCUUGACCUGCCGAGUGCCUGGGAUUGCAGGCAUGCGCUGCAAUGCCUGACUGGUUUUUGUAUUUUUGGUGGAGACGGAGUUUCGCCGUGUUGACCGGGCUGGUCUCCAGCUCUUGACCUCGAGUGAUCUGCCCGCCUUGGCCUCCCGAGGUGCUGGGAUUGCAGACGGAGUCUCGCUCACUCAGUGCUCAAUGUUGCCCAGGCUGGAGUGCAGUGGCAUGAUCUCAGCUCGCUACAACCUCCACCUCCCAGCCGCCUGCCUUGGCCUCCGAAAGUGCUAAGAUUACAGCCUCUGCCUGGCUGCCACCCCAUCUAGGAAGUGGGGAGCUCCUCUGCCCGGCCGCCCCGUCUGGGAUGUGAGGAGCGCCUCUGCCCGGCCGCCACUCCGUCUGGGAACUGAGGAGCGCCUCUGCCCAGCCGCCCCAUCUGAGAAGUGAGGAGCGCCUCUGCCUGGCAGCUGCCCCGUCUGGGAAGUGAGGAGCAUCUCUGCCUGGCCGCCCAUCGUCUGGGAUGUGAGGAGCACCUCUGCCCACCCGCCCCGUCUGGGAAGUGAGGAGCGCCUCUGCCCGGCUGCCCCGUCUGGGAGGUGUACCCAACAGCUCCGAAGAGACAGCGACCAUCGAGAAUGGGCCAUGAUGACAAUGGCAGUUUUGUGGAAAAGAAAAGGGGGAAAUGUGGGGAAAAGAAAGAGAGAUCAGAUUGUUACUAUGUCUGUGUAGAAAGAAGUAGACACAGGAGACUCCAUUUUGUUCUGUACUGAGAAAAAUUCUUCUGCCUUGGGAUGCUGUUAAUCUAUAACCUUACCCCCGGCCCUGCGCUCUCUGAAACAUGUGCUGUGUCCACUCAGGGUUAAAUGGAUUAAGGUCGGUGCAAGAUGUGCUGUUAAACAGAUGCUUGAAGGCAGCAUGCUCGUUAAGAGUCAUCACCACUCCCUAAUCUCAAGUACCCAGGGACACAAACACUGUGGAAGGCUGCAGGGACCUCUGCCUAGGAAAGCCAGAGACCUUUGUUCACGUGUUUAUCUGCUGACCUUCUCUCCACUAUUAUCCUAUGACCCUGCCACAUCCCCCUUUCCGAGAAACACCCAAGAAUGAUCAAUAAACACUAAAAAAUAAAAAAUAAAUAAAUAAAUAAAUAAAUAAAAAGAAAAGCUAGGAUGGCCGGUGUGGUGGCUUGUCUUUAAUCCUAGAACUAUGGGAGGUUGAGGCAGUAGGAUUGCUUGAGGCCAGGAGUUUGAGACAAGCCUGGGCGACAUAGCUAGACACCAUCUCUACAAAAAUAAUAAUAAGAAGAAAAGUUCACUGGGACCGGGCGCGGUGGCUCACACCUGUAAUACCAGCACUUUGGGAGGCUGAGGUAAGUGGAUCACCUGAGGUCAGGAGUUCAAGACUAGCCUGGCCAACAUGGUGAAACCCCGUCUCAACUAAAAAUACAAAAAUAUUAGCUGGGCGUGGUGGCGGGCACCUGUAAUCCCAGCUACCUUGGGAGGCUGAGGCAGGAGAAUUGUUUGAACCUG
rnacentral:lncRNA from 1 species